rnacentral:rRNA from 1 species
GUGCCAGCCGCCGCGGUAAUACGUAGGGUGCAAGCGUUAUCCGGAAUUAUUGGGCGUAAAGAGCUCGUAGGCGGUUUGUCGCGUCUGCUGUGAAAACUGGGGGCUCAACCCCCAGCCUGCAGUGGGUACGGGCAGACUAGAGUGCGGUAGGGGAGAUUGGAAUUCCUGGUGUAGCGGUGGAAUGCGCAGAUAUCAGGAGGAACACCGAUGGCGAAGGCAGAUCUCUGGGCUGUAACUGACGCUGAGGAGCGAAAGGGUGGGGAGCAAACAGGUUUAGAUACCCUGGUAGUCCACCCCGUAAACGUUGGGAACUAGUUGUGGGGUCCAUUCCACGGAUUCCGUGACGCAGCUAACGCAUUAAGUUCCCCGCCUGGGGAGUACGGCCGCAAGGCUAAAACUCAAAGGAAUUGACGGGGGCCCGCACAAGCGGU